CCUCCUGUAGUUCAAUGGAUAGAACUGCGCUCUUCUAAGGCGUUAAUGUUGGUUCGAUUCCAACCGGGAGGA
rnacentral:tRNA from 1 species